rnacentral:rRNA from 1 species
AACCGCAAGGAGGGAGCCGUCUAAGGUAGGAUCAAUGAUUGGGGUUAAGUCGUAACAAGGUAUCCCUACGGGAACGUGGGGAUGGAUCACCUCCUUU